GCAUCCGGGUUGAGGUAGUAGGUUGUAUGGUUUAGAGUUAUACCCUGGGAGUUAACUGUACAACCUUCUAGCUUUCCUUGGAGC
ensembl:miRNA